ACCGUACAGGGCCAUCGAUCGCACCACC
rnacentral:sRNA from 1 species